AGGAAAGUGCAGAUAACAUACUCUCCAUUGUUAAACAAAGAACAGGAUCUUUUGGGGAUCGUCCUGCAAGACCUACUCUUUUAGAACAAGUGUUAAAUCAAAAAAGACUGUCAUUACUAAGAAGUCCAGAAGUAGUGCAGUUUUUACAGAAACAGCAACAACUAUUAAAUCAGCAAGUUUUGGAGCAAAGACAGCAGCAGUUUCCAGGAGCAUCAAUUUAAGACUGAAGCUGUCAAAGAGGAAAAACUUUAAAACUUUAAAAAGGCAAACCUACCAAUAGGAAUAACAAAUUAAAUGUCAAGAGAGUAUAUCCAAUAUUAGGAUAUAAAUGUAUGUGUCUCAAGUUUAACUAUACAAAAAUUUGUUACUUGUUUUUUAAACUCUAUUAAAGUUCAACUUAAUCAUGGCUGUUCUAAGAAGUACUUAUGGAGACCAAGAAUGUUUUUGUUCAUUUCUUAAUGUGUGUAUUUUGACUUGCAUAUCUGUUCAAAACACUUUUAACAAAAUUAAUUCAUUAAAGUCCAGUUGUUGA
rnacentral:sRNA from 1 species